rnacentral:rRNA from 1 species
AUGAGACAGCUACUACAAUGUCUUGAUCUCCCAUGGAUUUUGUUAGAUGACCUUAAUGAAAUACACUUCUUGCACGAGAAAGAAGGCGGGAAUCCAUGCCCAUCUCAGUAUAUGCAAGCCUUCAAAAGUGCUAUUGAUGAUUGCGAGCUGCACGACUUGGGGCUUAUUGGGGACACCUUCACAUGGCAUAGAGGGCGAACUAGAGAGAGAUUGGACCGGAGACUUGUUAAUGAUGCAUGGAAGAAACUCUUCCCCAAUGUGGUGUUGGAAAAUAUGGAGUACAACCAUUCUGAUCAUAGACCAUUAUGUGUAAAUAUUGCAUAUUAUAACCAACCCGAAGCACCAAACAAUGAACAACAAAACAUGUUUGAGGCAAGGUGGUUAAUCGAAGAGAGCUUUAACGCAACUGUGUGA